CAUAAGGUAGUUUAAUUAAAAUAUUAAUUUUGGGGAUUAAAGAAAGAUUGUAAAAAUUUCCUUUUGA
rnacentral:tRNA from 1 species